AUUGAACGCUGGCGGCAGGCCUAACACAUGCAAGUCGAGCGGAUGAAGGGAGCUUGCUCCUGGAUUCAGCGGCGGACGGGUGAGUAAUGCCUAGGAAUCUGCCUGGUAGUGGGGGAUAACGUUCGGAAACGGGCGCUAAUACCGCAUACGUCCUGAGGGAGAAAGUGGGGGAUCUUCGGACCUCACGCUAUCAGAUGAGCCUAGGUCGGAUUAGCUAGUUGGUGGGGUAAAGGCCUACCAAGGCGACGAUCCGUAACUGGUCUGAGAGGAUGAUCAGUCACACUGGAACUGAGACACGGUCCAGACUCCUACGGGAGGCAGCAGUGGGGAAUAUUGGACAAUGGGCGAAAGCCCGAUCCAGCCAUGCCGCGUGUGUGAAGAAGGUCUUCGGAUUGUAAAGCACUUUAAGUUGGGAGGAAGGGCAGUAAGUUAAUACCUUGCUGUUUUGACGUUACCAACAGAAUAAGCACCGGCUAACUUCGUG
rnacentral:rRNA from 1 species